AUGCAGUUACAGCUCGAGGAUGAAAGGAUAAGAAAGAAGAAGUAUGAAUUCCAGAAGAGAAAGGAAUUGGAACAGCGUCAAAAGGCUGCCUGUGUGCCAGAAAGUGAUGUUGAUGUUGCUCAAGCUCCUAAAUGUACAAACUUGAUGCAAACUCGUUUGACGCAAGUGUUUGAUCGUGAUGGAGUUAAGGAGAAGAAAGUUGUUUUGAAGAGGAAGAUGUCAGAUCAAAAUCCUGAUGGCACACAGAGGCGUAGUCCACGUGUGAAAGCUGUUUCCCAACCUGGUAAUAGCAAAGCUGAUGCGGAUAGUUUUGCUGUGAAAAUUGGUCCAAGCAAACUUGGUGGCUCCUCUGUUCGUCAGAGUCCACGAGGUUUGACAAAUAAGAAGCCUUCUUCGUCUCCUCUUCAAGAGCGGUCUUUGUUGAAAGAAAAUAAGAAGCGUAAAGUUCAUCCUGCAAAAGUGAACAAAGGUGUGAAGAAGUGUGCUCGUGUUGAAGCUGAAGAUUCUGCAUCUGAAGAAGAUGAUAUUGAAGUUGAUUCAGAAGAUGAAUUUGCAGUGCCUGUUAGCGUCAUGAGUCCGGUCAAGCCGGUGGGAGGCAAUGCCGGAAAAGCUGCCUUGGAUGAAGAUACAAUGACUCUUGACAUGGGUGAGGCUAAUAAGAAGCUUCACAUCACUAGUGAUGGUAUACAACAAUUAUUUGGUUUCCCUCGUGGUGGUCGUUCUGCACCAAGGCCGUCAGAGGACGGAUAUGAUGACGCUCUAAUGAAGUUAAGAUCGGAGCUUGACAUUAGCAGGGACAAAGAUAUCAAGACAAAGGAUUUGAGGAAUAAGCUCAAGGUUCUCGUCAAGGAUCCUAGCAAAUAUGACCUUGCUCUGAAAGUGUUCUUCAUUAUUGUGUUUAUGAAGGUUGUGUUGCCUGGAUCUGCCCUGCGUGUUUCCAGAGAGGCAGCAAUGUUUGAGGGUCUCGUCUUUGAGGACAUGGCUAAUAUGGAUUAUUGCCAGCUGAUGGUUGAUGAGCUUAGAAGGGCUGUUGCCAAGUACCAAAGUGGUCAUACCAUGGGGAAGGCAAUCACAGGUUGUGCCAUAGGGCUUGUACUAAUGUACCUUGACUGCCUUAUCCGUGGCAAAACUGCGGAGCCUAACAUGCGAGUCCCCCGCAUAUGUUACAUGGAUCCUGCCAAGCUUUCUUAUCUGGUUGAUGCAGAUUUGAUAAAAAAAGGCAAUGCAGAUCCAAAGACUUGGGUGUUUGGGAAGCUUCCGGUAUGGAUUUUUAGUACUGUUGUUUCGUGUUUGGUUGAACUGAAUAACUUUGUUCAACUGGCAUGUUAUGGAAAACUCAAGAGUAGGUUGUUUUUUUCCGAGUGUAUAAACGGCCAGUCCUGGAGAUGCCGUCGUCUCAGGUUCUGA
rnacentral:rRNA from 1 species